UAUUACAGUAUUAUGAGUAUAAAACAACUAGGAUCUCUGUCUCGGUUGCUUUAGGGUACCCAGGCAGCACUAUGCGAGAACACGCACAACCUCUGAAGCCUAAUAAUUUCCAACACAAUCCCAAUCACACAAAAGGAAGGCCUUCAUCAUCACGUGAAGUCGGCAGUGCGUUUGAAAGGUCUCCUUUGCAGAAUACUAAUCAACCUGUUUCACACGGCAUCAAGCCCAGCUGGAGGAAACUGUGCAACAACAGAAAAUAAGCAAGUGCACCCCUAAGUUUCUGCUGCUUCACAUUUUGCAAGGCAUAUAUAUCAGGAAUUCAGUUUGGGGCGUACAAGGACUUCUGGAGCUUGAUGUCUUUGUGCUGCUUUUUGAUGUAUACCUGCAUGUGUACGUGGACUUGCAAACUAUAUAACCUCGCAGUGUGAAUGAAGUCAGAUAGUGCUUUUCCUAAUGCAUGGAUUAUGUUCUGUUUUUGCUCUCUCCACCAAAUCAAUAAUACAUAAUAGGUUGGGAUCGGGCAUGUAAGCAUUGGAGAUUUUUUAUUCAGUGUGCCCUGAGAUUUUACAGUCUGAGAGAGAGGAACCCCGCUUUCAACUCUGACAACUUGGCACGAACCAAUGCAGAUGCUCUUCAGGUUUUGCCUGGGUCUUUCAUUUUUUUUCGUUAAAAAGACAAUCGGCGUCCAUCAUUGCACCAAACGAAAAGAUUAUUAAUAAUAAUCUGCUCUAGCAGCUCUGUGUGACAUGCAGUCUCUCAUCUCUCCGGUGACCAAGGCUAUUUUGGUGGCUUUGUUUAUUUUUGCCAUUUUAUUAAUUCUGUAUGUGAUUCUCUGGUAUAUCUGUCGAGAUGUUGAUUGCGAUCACGGAAUCUGAAUUGGAAAACUGGGCACGGAUUAAGAAAAAAAAGAAAAAAGAACUGGCGCUGACCUUCAGAGAUCAGGAUGACAUGAAGUUAAAUAAAGCCAUUCAGCCCCAAGAUGCAAAGUGGAGUAUACCACUGUCAACAUUUCCACAAAAUAGAUCAACACAAGACAAAAGGUGAAGGAGCAAUACAAAUACAGCAGAAGGCAACCAUGCCUGAUGGAAUGUACAACUGAAGGCAAAAAGAAGCCUAAAUGAAAUGCAAUCCUACUGGCCAAAGAAGAUGAAGAAGUGGAUUGGUACAAUUUAGAAAUGCUUCAGGGAUGACAUGAAUUCCUCAGAAAGCUUAACAUCUCAUUUUGUUCUGUUGUCCAACAAAUAUCAACCUGAUAACAUGAAGCAUGAGACCCAAUGAGGAUUCUGGAAAAACAAACUUUGAUGACCUCAUAACUUCUUGUCUACGUACGCUGGUCUGAGGACUCUGCAUUAUAUGAAUGUGAAGAUUCAGGUUUAGAAAUGAGAGCAUAUCAACAUUGUGGCAAAGAACUACAACAUCUGUAUCUGAGUAAUGUGCUUACCUUGAGGAAAGCUUUGACAUUGCUUAACUCUUCAAACAAGAUCAUAUCAUUUCUUUAUAAGAGUUAAUACUAUAAUUCUAAAAGUACAAGUGCCUGACCAUGAUACAGUCUGGUCAUGAAAAUCUGCAAAUAUAUUUAUUCAUUAUUUUAUUGGAUAAUUGCUAUGUGAAAGCUCAGAUAUUUUUAUUUAAUAAAUCAAAAAAUAAUGUUUAUUUGAUCAUAAAA